rnacentral:lncRNA from 1 species
GGGAAUUUAGAGGUGAAUCUUUAGAGGUUGGAUCCGACAUAGUUAAUGGAUGAUGUUUUAUAACAGUAUAUAUCUUUUAUGAGAAAAAGGUGGAAAUAAUGUUAGUGCUCCCCAGCAUUUGGAAUUUGGUGAUGCAAUGUCUAAUUUAUAGAGUGAGAGAGGCAGCAUGAUGAUAAUGAGAAAGAAAGGAAGUGGGUUUUGGAUUGUCUUCUUCCUAAUCUCCUUCUCCACCAAUCACACACUGAUAC